ACUGCUGCCUGGUUAAACACCCUAUUUGCUUUGGUUAUCCGAAUAUGAAAGACUGGGAGAGAAGUAAUCAGUUCAUUGUCCAAGCUUAUAUAAAAGGUCUUGACUACAUCGAUCUUGAGGCAUCAUCAUGUCCACUGUCUCAAGUUUGAGCAAGCAAUGAGUUCUAUGAAGCACCCAAGAGGUAUCAAUGUUUGAUAACCGCAACAAUUUUUUUUUGGUUUUCAUUUUCUUUUCCUUCUGAUAUUAUUUCAUCACUGAUAUAGGAAAGCUGCUUUAUUCUAUGAUACCAUCGUCUAUACGUACAUAACUAUGGUUGAUGUAGAUAAGUAUUUGGAAUAUUCUACAUCAAUGGUGAAGAAUAAAGGAUUUAGCUUGGAUUCGUGUGUUUGUGACUCAUUAUUUAUUCAAAGCGCAAACCUACUCAAGUGUUUGAUCCUAAUACAAAUGACCUAGGAUAGGUUACUACUUCCGAUAGACAGAUCUGAUAAAGUGACCUGCACAAAGCUACAAUCAUUCAUAGAAGAACUCAAGCAGCUUAUCUACUUCACCACUCAUAUGGUGAUUGUGGUCAUUACCAAGUUAACCUUUCAGAUCGUCUCAACGGGUGAUGGUGGAUCAUCUUGGAGACCUCGCUGUCACCAGCGCCUCUCUCGCCUCCUCCUCCUGCAAUAUCAUUGGCUUCAGUUUUAUUGUAAAAGAUCUUUAUCUUUCCUUUUAUCCAAGUUGAUACAUGUAUCUAUAUUUCUUAUAGUUACAAGAACCUUGGAAACUGCACCUCCACAUCACUUGAUUU